CAAUGUCAUGACAUGGCAGGCAAAAACAUUUUGGGUUAUUUUGCUUCCAUAACAUGUCUUCUUUCAGACUAGUGGAACAAAUACACAUUUCUAUAACUCUCCCUACAUCCCUAUUUGCAAACUUUGCACCCUGAAUUUGGACAUUUAAUUUUCCUGGGCUUUGAAAAACUCAGUUCUAAUGCUGUUUGGUAGACUCGGCCCUUUGACCCUCAGGCAGGCAGCCAAUGGGAAACACUGGGCUUCAGUUUUCAGAUAAAUGUCAUUAACUUGAACUAAAAGUCAAAGUGAUGUUCUGACGUUAGUGUUACAUCGAAUCAGGCGUCUUCACGGUUCCCUCGUCCUGGAAAACAUAAAAAAUCUGGAAAUUUAGACCAAAUAUCCUCAAAGUUUCCUGUAAAGUAGUUUUAUUUUCUUCCCUCACUCCGUAAACUCCAGUUCGUAUCUAUUCUGCAUCUUUUAAACAGUUUAUCCAGUUUAUUUAAAGUGGAACUGACUUCUCCUGAUAAUGAUCACGUUUCUUGUGGCUGUGAUAAAUACAUUAACUGUGAUGUUACAGAAUAAUGUAACCAGAAAGUCAGACACAAACUCUGGAAAAUGAUUUAUGAAAGAGAGAAACUGUCAAAUGUUAAAAGGAACGCUCAGCUCUGAUCUGUUUGUUUUCCUCCAGGUGAAUACAAGAAGGACGAACUUCUGGAAGCAGCGAGGAGUGGAAAUGAAGAAAAGCUGAUGGCGCUGCUGACUCCGUUAAACGUCAACUGCCACGCCAGCGACGGCCGCAAGUCAACAUCCCAAAAAAUGCUGGUAAGU